UUUUUUUUUUCUCCAUCUUUAUUAACUUGAGUAUUUCUUAUUUACAUUUCAAAUGUUAUUCCUUUCCCGCUUUCCUGGCCAACAUCCCCCUAACCACUUCCCCUCCCCAUCCUUCCCCCAUUACCGCCUCCCCCCAACAAUCACGUUCACUGGAGGUUCAGUCUUAGCAGGACCCAGGGCUUCCCCUUCCACUGGUGCUCUUACUAGGAUAUUCAUUGCUACCUAUGAGGUCAGAGUCCAGGGUCAGUCCAUGUAUAGUCUUUAGGUAGUGGCUUAGUCCCUGGAAGCUCUGGUUGGUUGGCAUUGUUGUUCAUGUGGG
rnacentral:lncRNA from 1 species